rnacentral:rRNA from 1 species
AGUGAACGCUGGCGGUAGGCCUAACACAUGCAAGUCGAACGGCAGCACAGUAAGAGCUUGCUCUUACGGGUGGCGAGUGGCGGACGGGUGAGGAAUACAUCGGAAUCUACUUUUUCGUGGGGAUAACGUAGGGAAACUUACGCUAAUACCGCAUACGACCUACGGGUGAAAGCAGGGGAUCUUCGGACCUUGCGCGAUUGAAUGAGCCGAUGUCGGAUUAGCUAGUUGGCGGGGUAAAGGCCCACCAAGGCGACGAUCCGUAGCUGGUCUGAGAGGAUGAUCAGCCACACUGGAACUGAGACACGGUCCAGACUCCUACGGGAGGCAGCAGUGGGGAAUAUUGGACAAUGGGCGCAAGCCUGAUCCAGCCAUACCGCGUGGGUGAAGAAGGCCUUCGGGUUGUAAAGCCCUUUUGUUGGGAAAGAAAAGCAGCAGGUUAAUACCCCGCCGUUCUGACGGUACCCAAAGAAUAAGCACCGGCUAACUUCGUG